GAAAACGAGAUGGACAAGGAGAGAGCAAGAAAGCUGGGAAAGUGACAGUGAGAGGAAGAGCACACGAAGGAAAGUAAGGGGAGAAGAUUUCUAUAGCAACGACCAAUCAAUCACAGCAGGGAUGAGGGUUUGACUGGGGUUUGACCCCGGAGUGAACCUGGUGGAGUGGGAUGCCUUCAAAACACAAGUCUGACACAUCACAGUAUGCACCAACAUGUGUGUUUAACAGACCAGCUGGUAUAGGGGAGAGAAUAUAAACUAAAAAAUUCACUCUGCUCUUUUACAACCUCUGUGUGUUUUUGGACUUGAGAAAUUUCAGUUUUAUGUCUUACCAAUAAAAAGACCAUGAUAUUUAAA
ensembl:processed_transcript